AUUGAACGCUGGCGGCAGGCUUAACACAUGCAAGUCGAGCGAGUGGCGGACGGGUGAGUAAUGUCUGGGAAACUGCCUGAUGGAGGGGGAUAACUACUGGAAACGGUAGCUAAUACCGCAUACCAUCAGAUGUGCCCAGAUGGGAUUAGCGUGUUGGUGGGGGAAUGGCUCACCUAGGCGACGAUCCCUAGCUGGUCUGAGAGGAUGACCAUCCACACUGUAACGUAGAAACGGUCCAGACUCCUACGGGAGGCCGCAGUGGGGAAUAUUGCACAAUGGUCGCAAGCUUGAUGCAGCCAUGCCGCGUGUGUGAAGAAGGCCUUCGGGUUGUAAAGCACUUUCAGCGAGGAGGCGUUACUCGCAGAAGAAGCACCGGCUAACUCCGUGCCAGCAGCCGCGGUAAUUC
rnacentral:rRNA from 1 species